rnacentral:tmRNA from 1 species
GGGGGUGACAUGGCUUCGACGUGGGUCGCGAAACUCCGAGUGCAUGCCGAGGGACAGAGUACCUCGUAAAUCCAACUGUAAAACUUAUAGUUGCCAACGAAGACAACUACGCUCUAGCUGCUUAAAAACCAGUUUAGUGCCUUCUGCCCGGUGCGUGCCUAUGCGCCCGGAUCCCAGGAGUCAUCUACAUAGGACCGCGGUGAAGGCAUGUUCAGGGCUAGAUCCGUUAAAACCUUACUGAACUGGCUGUAAGUUUUCCCUGCCCGUCGGGUAGCCUACAGUGAGAUUAAAGACGGAAUAAGCAUGUAGACCUCGUAGCGUAGGGCUUGCGGACGUGGGUUCGAUUCCCACCACCUCCACCA